rnacentral:misc_RNA from 1 species
AACCUAGCACACCUGCGGUGUGUACCUGCGGAGGGAUCAUUAACCUUUCAAAAAACAGGGUGCGUCGCGGCCCCCCUCCGGGGGCGGUUUGGGGUCCUCCCCUUCACGCGCGCACGACUGCAUCCUUACUUUACGAGCACCUUCUGUUCUCCCUCGGCGGGGCAACCUGCCGUUGGAACCGAAUAAACCCUUUUUUGCAUCCAGCAUUACCCGUUCCGAAACAAACAAUCGUUACAACUU